AGCAGCCGCGGUAAUUCCAGCUUCAAUAGCGUAUAUUAAAGUUGUUGCAGUUAAAAAGCUCGUAGUUGAACUUCGGGAUUUGCCCAUUGGUCAGGCUUAACUGUCUGCACUGGUGUGACGAGUUCCUACCUUCUGAGGAAUCUCCAUGUCAUUCAGUUGGUGUGGGGGGAAAUCAGGACUGUUACUUUGAAAAAUUAGAGUGUUUAAAGCAGGCAUCCGUCUGAAUACAUUAGCAUGGAAUAAUAAAAUAGGACGGUUUGGUUCUAUUUUGUUGGUUUCUAGGAUCACCGUAAUGAUUAAUAGGGAUAGUUGGGGGCAUUAGUAUUCAAUUGUCAGAGGUGAAAUUCUUGGAUUUAUUGAAGACUAACUACUGCGAAAGCAUUUGCCAAGGAUGUUUUCAUUAAUCAAGAACGAAAGUUAGGGGAUCGAAGACGAUCAGAUACCGUCGUA
rnacentral:rRNA from 1 species